UACGUAGGGGGCAAGCGUUGUCCGGAUUUAUUGGGCGUAAAGAGCGUGUAGGCGGCUAAAUAGGUCCGUUGUGAAAACUCGAGGCUCAACCUCGAGAUGCCGAUGGAAACCAUUUGGCUAGAGUCCGGAAGAGGAGAGUGGAAUUCCCGGUGUAGCGGUGAAAUGCGCAGAUAUCGGGAAGAACACCCGUGGCGAAGGCGGCUCUCUGGGACGUGACUGACGCUGAGACGCGAAAGCGUGGGGAGCAAACAGG
rnacentral:rRNA from 1 species